AUCUGUAAAUAGUGGAUCCUUAAAAAGUUGACUCUAACGUGUAUACACUUAACCAAGCAAUUUGAAGCAACAUUGAUCGUGAUUGUCAUACAUAUGUAAUAUCAAUAUGGAUAAAAGCGUGGGAAAAAUGAUGUAGGAUAGAAUUACAUAAUAUCAAACAAAGGAAUACUAGCUGCUCAGUACGAAAUGUGUCUCAUCUGUGCAGGAAACUGUAAUCCAUAAUGUCGUCCAUUCCAUUAAGCGUUACAUUGAUUCUGCGGCCCGGAAGUCUUUGUUUGAAGGAUCAGAGAGACACCUUGUGUACUCGCCAUGGACUGCACGUGCUGCAGGAAUGCGUAGAAGGCCGUUGACCCCAGCGUCCACUACGUAAACGUGGCCACUUUCUACUUCGCCAAGCUCUCGUAACUUCCGCCCUUACUUCCCCGUUCAGGAAGCAAUAAAGUACAGCGACGAAAAAUCCCUUUAAUUUAAUUAAGACAUACAACCGUACGGAACGUUUUAUUAUGUUUUAUUGAUUUAUUUUCAUUCUCGAGAAUAAAGAAAGGAGUCUCCUUAUUAGAAUUGUAUAAGGAUUUAUGAGCAUAUUCUAUAAAUUCUCACUUGAAAGGAGGCGAAGAAUUGAUCACAG